AGAGAGCGAGCGAGCGAUCGGGGUGGUAUGAACCGAGAAUAAAAGCGAGCUUCGUGAAGCCACAAGUGUCCAGUUAUUAGCAUGCUAGUCCGGUCACUGUGGCCCUCCUUCCUUUCUGCUCUCAGACUGUGGGCCUGCUGUUUGAGAAACUUCAACAAACAUGUGCAUUUACUGCUGAAAAUCACGGGAGACACCUGCAUUAAUAGGGAUGACUUAUUUGCAUGGCAACAAUGCGAUGGAAAAGGGCAGCAACCUGUUGUAUGUUUGUAACUCAGGUUUUUAAAGGAUUUUCGUCAGCUUUAAGCAGACUUGGCACGUUUCUUCACAUCUUUCCUAACGUGGCCGUAUCCUGGAUACUACUCCGGCUUGCUAACUGUCAAAGGAGACAAGUCUUUUUUGGAAACAAAAGAAGCAGUUGAAACCUCCACAUCUCCCAGUCCUCAGCAUUCCUGACCACAGCAGAAGGAUCCUCCAACAACAACAGAGAAGCUCCGCAGGACCACAAAGAGCCACAGCUUUCCUCCAGGAUGCUCAACCUCAACUCAUCGGAUGAGAACAGCAACAGGAGCUCUCUGCAGGACCCGGUGUCUCUGAACGUAGGGGGGGAGAUUUACACCACCACCCUGGACACUCUGACCCGCUGCCAAGACUCCAUGCUGGGGGCCAUGUUCACCGGGCAGAUCCCCGUGCUGAGAGACAGCAGAGGUAAUGUCUUCAUCGACCGUGACGGGAAAGUCUUCCGGUACAUUCUGAAUUACUUGCGCUCCAGCGCCCUGGACCUGCCCGAUGGCUUCUCAGAGCUGGCACUGCUGCGGAGGGAGGUCGACUUCUUCCAGAUACGCCCCCUGCUGGAGGAGCUCUGCCGCUACGAGGCAGCAGUGCCUCUCAGCCUCAAAGGGGGGCCCCUAGGAGCCAUGAUCAUGGUCAAUGUGGAGUCCAAGGUCCGCAUUCUUCACUUUAACUUACGCCACGCGCCGGAGAACUACGAGCUGCGCACAUGCCUAGUGGCAGCCUUCACAGUGGAGCUCUUCUGUACCUGGAGAGCCUUCAUGGCCCUUCUUUGUGAGCGCUUCUCCUACAAAACCUCCAAAGGUCUCACCAGCCCCCAUCCAUGCAACCCGAGGCAGAACCGGCUGAAACUGGAGUGGGUGCCGCGGCCCGAGGAGCUCCCGCAGGAGCAGUACAACAAGCAGCGCUACCAGGGGCUAACGGUGUGUAACGCCGAUGUCACGCAGUCAGGUGACAUCAUCAACGCGCACCGUGAGAUCACAGACAUGCAGGGCUUUGUGGAGGAGCUGCUGAAGUUGUCUUUGGCUGAAGGCUUCAAGCUGGAUCUGGUGACGCCUGAUCCUGUGGAAAUCCUCAACUGCACCUCGCUUCGUCUUAUCAAAUGCUAAGAUCUGCGCCAAGGACAUCAAGUAAAGAAAAACAGAACAUGCCAAGUGGAUGAAAUAGGGUUUGAUCUCUCUUGACACAAUUGAACCAGUGAAUCCAGUAGGUUAGGGUUGAGGUUAGCCUUUAAUAUGGGGUGUUUGAAAUAAUACGGAAAUAUAUGUUUUCGUCGGUCUCUGUGUCUGUCACAAGGUCAUAGUGUUAACCAUAAUGGAUAACAAAUUGUGUUAAAUCUGGGUUAGCGCUUUCUUCUACGUCCAACACAACACUUUAGAUCCACCUGUGAAAUAUAUUGUUCAUUUACUGCAAUAUAAACUAUGCUGAGUAGUAGCACUCUUUUGUCUUCGUGUGUUUUUCUUGAGGCCUAACAAAUGUCUAAUGUUGUUGUUUUACCUCCUGAAACAUUUUGAAGCAGACAUGGCGUAAUUAGCUUGAAAUAUUUCUCUCCGAACACAAUGACUUUCUGGACCCUCGUCCCACCUUCAGGAUGUCCAGCAGCCAGCGGACCCUUCGGUCACUGUGAACAGCUGAUUACUAACAGAUCUGAAGUCUGUUUCCAGGCUUUAUGCUAAGCUGAGAAAAUAAGCUUGCAACUCUUGCUCCAGUUAUUACUAAGACAAGAGAGUGUCAUCCGACUUUAAAUAAGCAAAUAAGUGUGUUUUUCAAAAAGUUUGGCCUUGUGUCCACACAUGUUAUCUCUGAAGCCACAGCCCCGAUGUGUAGUUAGACUUUUGAGGUGGUGUAGGAAGCGUAGUCGCCACAGUACACUCUAACCCCUUUUACAACAACAAAUCCUACACCUUCAACAUAAAUACAGUUAUAUUUUGUCUCUCAGUUUUUAUGUGACUGACAUAGUUUUGAUUUUAAAGGCAAAGUUAUUGCUGGCCUUUUUCAAUAUUGAUAUGAAUGGAAAAAAUAAAAUUCCACUUUUUGGGUUACUUUUUUGCCAUGUUCUCUCAAAUAAAUCUGUACUUAUACUACUCAUGUGCUCACUCCUGGUGGGAGGGCUUGGAAUUACAUUGUCAGAUGAUUUAUGGACGUACUGUAAUGUGUAACUAGUUUGCUGUAUCUCGGCCAUAGAAUGUAUAAAAUAGGUCACAUUUUAAAAGGAAUUUGUCGGGUUGUAAAUCAAAACCCCUUUUUCUCACUUUCUGUCCAGGACUUUGAGAGAUGCAUGAAUGUCUGCAGCUCUUCUGGAUGGACAGUCAUGUUUCAUAUUUUGAGCGAUACAGUGGAACCCCGACUUUCUACGUCACAACUCCUUCAGAGGGAGCUCGGGUCCUCAGUCUGCCCUGACCUUUAUCAACACAUCUCUGACUCAUUCCUUUUUCAUAGGCAUAUAUACAGCAUUUCAUAUUUGGUUUUUCUUCUCAAUUAAAACUAUUAAAAGUGUCUUCACAGUAAAGCAUUGCUAUGGUGACUUUUUAUUAUGAGAUUGCAGCAACUCUUUGUAUCAUAACGUCUUACAUGUAUUUUGAAAAACAGUCUUAUAUAGUCUUAUAUGGACUUUUUUAUAAGGACAUUUUUCUUUGUUUCAUUUUGAAUAUUAACAUCAUGUCGAUAUAAUAUUGUGAAAGGGUCUCUGGUAGUGAUUAUUUUCACAGUCUGUGCAGGCUUGUUGUUUUAGUUUUAAAACUAAAAUCAUAUUUGAUUUGUAGUUUCAGCAUUCUUAUCAACUUAAUUUUCAGCAGCAACAUGCAUCAACUAAACCACUGUACACUACCGGCUUUAAUAGCUAGAAUACGGGAUAUAAUGAUUAACAGAAUAACAAGAGGAAAGGCAUACAUAAAUGUUUGAUGAUUAUGAUGAUGAUGAUGACGAUGAGGAUGAUGAUGAUGAUCCUGUCCUGGCUGCUUCUUUUGGUUUUGGUUAAUAAAUCAUUUGUGUUACA